GGUUGAUGGCUAAUCAAAAUAAAGAAAAAUAAUAUUUUAAAAAAACAUCCACUACUGCUCUGUGUGUUUACUUCAAUGAAGACUUGUAUUUAUUGUGAUAGAAAAAUAUAAAUUGUCCAAAAUAUUUGUGAGUUUUUAAAUUAGCACUGCAUGAGUUUAACUGUGGCACAGACGGCUGUCGGCCUGGUGAGUGAGAGCUCAACCUCCAAACUGAACCCAGUGUGUUACUCACAGAAUCACAGAUUUACUGACAUUUACUGAUUGUUCUGUAGGGUCUUUACAAUUUUCAGCCCUUCAGGUGACUGUUGUCUUCUGACUCCAUCUUUAGGGUUUAGUUAGAUUAAAUAUUUAACCAGUUAAUUUAAGAAUGAAAGACACAUUUAUCACAAAGGCACUCUUAUAAUGUAGAUUAAAUGUGUGUUGACAUAACAUCUAGAUGUAUGAUUAGAAAGAGAGAAAUGUUGUAAUGACAUGAACAAAGUGCAGUAUUCCAAGAUGGCAUCAGAGUUUUAACACCUUUUAUACUCAUGUUUUUAUAAUUAUGUUAAGUGUAAAAGCUCAAAGAUAAUGACAUAGAUGCAUCUGUUUCUGUUAUUAUCACAAUAAUCACAACAUAAAAUGAUUAUUGUGACAUUUUUUCUGUGCUGUAUUAAGGUUACCAGAGUCAGCUGGGGAUUCAUGAACGUCAUCAGUGAUGUUUCUCCACAGCGGGCUCAUCAGUACCUGGUGACAGAAGGUCAAUCCAGCUCUGACUUGAGGCUGUUCAAGAAUCAGCUCCACUUGAUCUGGUUCCACCUCUACCACAGGCAGAGAAACACAGGCCUGGACUCUUUGUUGGCCAGACAAAAUCAGAAACGGAAAUCAUUGGUUUUCACAACUGGGUCCAGUUCCACCUGCAAAGGAUAUGAGGCCAGGGAGCAUGAUUUGGUAAGUAUAACAUUUCACCAAACAGAAGAGUUUGAUUUCCUUUGA
ensembl:lncRNA